UCAACCAUGUCUAUGAUACCAAAAGGUGGAGAUACAAUCUGGGGUGGCCUUGAUUGGUCUCCUGAAGGAAUCUACAAUUGUGGCGCAAAGAAGCCAAAAAACAAUAGUACACACACUGCAAUUCCAAAUGGGAAAGGGGCAUCAAGUUUCACAGAAGGUGUGAACUAUGGGAGAAUUAUAUCGUUUGGGAAAGAUGUGGCUGAGCUUCAUUCCUCCAAAAUUGAGCGGAUUGAUUUCAGGGAUGCUGUUAAUUUUAAAAACCCUGCAAACAACUGUGACAUCUGGACAGAGUACCAAGAAAUGGAUGUUGGGCAUAUUAAAGCUGUUGUCAACUACAAAGUAUACACAGCUGGAUCAGUUUUGGAUCUGCUUCAUUUUGUUGCUCCCAAGCUUAUGAAACGUGAAGGUGCUCAUUUUUCACAUGGGAUUGCAGAUGAUUUGGAUGAUCCUAAAUACGAACACUAUAAAUAUUGGUCGAACCCCUUAGAAACAAG
rnacentral:misc_RNA from 1 species